AUGAAAGGGGGGGGCCAAGGAGGAGGCCUGCAGGGACAGAGCCCGGGGGGGCCAGGGCCCAGAGCCCAGGGCCCAGGUGCUCUGGCUGCAGAGCAGACCCAGAAGACACGGGCCCGGAGGGCAAACAGCAGGCCAGGCAAGGGGCCACGAGCAGGCUUCUGGGUGGUGGAGGCCCACCACGCCAAGGACAGGCCCGCUCACCCAGGGCAGGGCCGGGCUGGGGCAGCAGGACGCCCCAGUGGUCACACGGCCUACUUUCUUGCAGCCUCCAGCAAGGCCCCAUCGGUCUAUCCUCCGACUGCUGGAUGCUGGGACACGCCUGGCUCCACGGUGGCCUUCGGCUGCCUGGUCUGGGGUUACAUCCCUGAGCCGGUGAUGGUGACCUGGAACUCGGGCGCCCUGUCCAGCAGCAUCCACACCUUCCCGUCCAUUCUCAUGUCCUCGGGUCUCUACUCCCUCAGCAGCUUGGCGACCAUGCCCGCCAGCAGCUCGGCCGGCAAGACAUUCAUCUGCAACGUAGCCCACCCGGCCAGCAGCACCAAGGCGGACAAGCGUGUGGGCAAGAGGACAGGCCUCAGGGAGGGCGUCCACUCCCAGACAGGACCGAGGUCAGCCCUCCUCCCAGCUCAAGCCACAUGCCAGGAUGGCGACCUCUGCCCAGGGAAUCAGAGGAGAUGCGACCCCAGCUCCCAGUGUCCCAAAUGCCCAGCCCCUGAGCUCCUUGGAGGGCCCACGGUCUUCAUCUUCCCCCCAAAACCCAAGGACGUCCUCUCCAGCACCCGAACACCUGAGGUCACGUGCCUUGUGGUGGACGUGGGUAAGGAAGACCCUGAGAUUGAGUUCAGCUUGUCCGUGGAUGACACAGAGGUACACACGGCUGAGACAAAGCCAAAGGAGGAACAGUUCAACAGCACGUACCGCGUGGUCAGCGUCCUGCCCAUCCAGCACCAGGACUGGCUGACGGGGAAGGAGUUCAAGUGCAAGGUCAACAACAAAGCUCUCCCGGCCCCCAUCGAGAGGACCAUCUCCAAGGCCAAAGGGCAGGCCCGGGAGCCGCAGGUGUACACCCUGGCCCCACACCAGGAAGACCUGGCCAAGGACACUGUGAGCGUAACCUGCCUGAUCAAAGGCUUCUACCCACCUGACAUCAACGCUGAGUGGCAGAGGAACGGGCGGCCGGAGGCAGAGGGCGCCUACGCCACCACGCUGCCCCAGCCGGACAACGCCGGGACCUACAUCCUCUACAGCAAGCUCUCAGUGGGAAAGAACACGUGGCAGCGGGGAGAAGUCUUCACCUGUGUGGCGAUGCACUAGGCUCUACACAGAUCACUCCACCCAGAAAUCCAUCUCCCAGUCUCCGGGUAAAUGA